rnacentral:rRNA from 1 species
UACGUAGGGGCAAGCGUUGUCCGGAGUUACUGGGCGUAAAGCGCACACAGGCGGUCGAUUAAGUUUGGAGUGACAGCUGGUGGCUUAACUGCCAAAGUGCUUCGAAAACUGAUCGACUUGAGGGCUUCAGAGGGACACGGAAUUCCGGGUGGAGUGGUGAAAUGCGUAGAGAUCCGGAGGAACACCGAAGGCGAAGGCAGUGUCCUGGGGAGUACCUGACGCUCAGGUGCGAAAGCCAGGGGAGCGAACGGG